rnacentral:rRNA from 1 species
GUAACGCGUAUGCAACCUACCUUUUACUGAGGGAUAGCCCGGGGAAACUCGGAUUAACACUUCAUGGUAUAUUGAGAAGGCAUCUUUUUGAUAUUAAAGGCUACGGUAAAAGAUGGGCAUGCGUCCGAUUAGCUAGUUGGCGGGGUAAUGGCCCACCAAGGCGAUGAUCGGUAGGGGACCUGAGAGGGUGAUCCCCCACACUGGCACUGAGAUACGGGCCAGACUCCUACGGGAGGCAGCAGUAGGGAAUAUUGGGCAAUGGGCGAGAGCCUGACCCAGCCAUGCCGCGUGCAGGAAGAAGGCCUUCUGGGUUGUAAACUGCUUUUGACAGGGAAGAAAAUGCUCUUGCGAGAGUUUCUGACGGUACCUGUAGAAUAAGCACCGGCUAACUCCGUGCCAGCAGCCGCGGUAAUACGGAGGGUGCAAGCGUUGUCCGGAUUUAUUGGGUUUAAAGGGUGCGUAGGCGGCUUAUUAAGUCAGUGGUGAAAUCCGACAGCUUAACUGUUGAAAUGCCAUUGAUACUGAUGAGCUUGAGUGCAGACGAGGUAGGCGGAAUUGAUAGUGUAGCGGUGAAAUGCAUAGAUACUAUCAGGAACACCGAUUGCGAAGGCAGCUUACUAGGUUGCAACUGACGCUGAGGCA